rnacentral:ncRNA from 1 species
AAGAAGCAAUAGCGAAAUCGUGGCCUGACGGACAGAAAUCCGAUAUGAAGGCGUAUCAAGCGGACAAGCUGGCCAAAGACAGCAAAGUUCCCAAAGGCAACCGUAACCUUGAUGCGUAAAUCGGGCAGGUAAACGAGGAAAGAUG